UUCCCUUUCCCUUCACAUUCCCUUUCUCUUUCUCUUUUCCAUCUCUUUUUUUCCCUGAUUCCUGAAUUUUUUUUGCCCCAGAAUCCACAGCCCAAGCCACGUGCACACACUGCAGAUGUGAAGUGAAUUUUUACUGCCAGCAAGCACCUGGGAAUAAAAAAACCUCAGCCCCAAAGCUUGAUGUCUAAACAGCAACACAGAAGUUCUAAACCAGCUGUCUGGAUUUGAAAAGACAUAUGUCUUUGGAAGUUAACAUAGAGUUCAACUUGAUGUAGUGAUCGACUUAGGUUCAGCUUAAAAAAGGCCCUACUGACAUUUUAUUGUAUCUAAUCCCUGCUUUCCCCUGCGUUCUAGUUCUUGCCUCCCCGCCCACUCUGUUUCACGGGGCUGUACAUGGUGAAACACUUCCCUAUGUGCUUUCUGGGUUUGAGCUGCCCUGCCCCGGCACGUAGGGUCACGGUUAAGUAGAAGAGUUAUAAAACUUAGUGGUUCGUCUCUUUUUCAUGGGUUUUUGGGUAGAAAACUUACGGGCCCAGUGUGGGAAUAACUCCUAGCCCUCGGCGUCUCGUUGACCGCCUCCCGUUGUCUCGCAGGUCCCCGAGGCGGCUUCGGAUCUCCGCGGUCACCGACACUGCCAGUUUUCCCGGCGCGCGCCGUUCGACGUCGAGGAGCGGCAUCCAGAAGCUGUGUCGGAGCAUCUUCCUGGCUGGAAUGUUUUGAGUAAGGGCUGCAGUCAGGGUGUAAGCUGAAGGGUGUGUGACUGUGUGUGUGUGACUGUGUCUGUCUGCCUGCGAGAAGAGUGCGGGUGUGGAAUGGUUCUGACCUUGUGUGUGUGAGUUUUGCCUUUCAGGCUUUUCAGCUACUUUUUAAACUUAGAGUAAAAACAACCCAGCUGCGCUGUCUGGGGAUUUUCUCCCUCCCGGCUGGGUUUUUUUAUCUGAGACCCAGCCGGUCUGUGAGGUGACGUUCAUCGCCAGGGUUUGGGUGCCGACCGUGCCGGGGAUUUGUCAGGCGGGAUGAUUUUGGGGCUCCCGGGAACCGCGUUCCCAUGGGGUGCUCUCGAGACGAGAGCGAGGGUGGGUUUGUGUGUCAGCUGAAGGAGGUGUGUGGUGGAUGAGUGUUUUCUUCUCCCUGUGCUGCUGUUGUUUUGGGUUUCCUGAAACAAUAAAAUGUAAUUAAUUUUCCAGAAAUAGAACAAUUGUUACAUUGUACUGAUAGGGGGUUGGCUUGUGUUGCUCUGUGUUCGUGUUUGCUGCUGCACUUGCACAUAUUGCUCUGUAUGUCAAUUGGACUUUGACCAGUGUGCAUAUGGAUUGUAUUUGUGCUUGUGCUUGUGUGUUGUUAUUUCCACUUGCUUUGCUGAAGUGUAAAUAAAAAGCCCUCGUUCAAUAAAGUUGAAUAAACCCUAAUAAAGAUA